rnacentral:rRNA from 1 species
UAGGGAAUCUUCCACAAUGGACGAAAGUCUGAUGGAGCAACGCCGCGUGAGUGAAGAAGGGUUUCGGCUCGUAAAACUCUGUUGUUAAAGAAGAACAUAUCUGAGAGUAACUGUUCAGGUAUUGGACGGUUAUUUAACCAGAAAGCCACGGCUAACUACGUGCCAG